AUAGCGUAUACUAAAUUUGUUGCCGUUAAAAAGCUCGUAGUCGAACUUCGGCCUUUGCCGCCCGGUCCGCCUUUUUGGUGUGUACUGGAGCGGUGGAGGCCUACCUCGUGGUGAACGGCCAUGCUCUUUACUGGGUGUGGUCGGGAACCAUGACUUUUACCUUGAAAAAAUUAGAGUGUUCAAAGCAGGCUUACGCCCGAAUACAUUAGCAUGGAAUAAUAAAAUAGGACGUGCGGUUCUAUUUUGUUGGUUUCUAGGAUCGCCGUAAUGAUUAAUAGGGAUAGUUGGGGGCAUUCGUAUUCAAUUGCUAGAGGUGAAAUUCUUGGAUUUAUUGAAGACGAACUACUG
rnacentral:rRNA from 1 species